GACGAACGCUGGCGGCGUGCUUAACACAUGCAAGUCGAACGGAAAGGCCCUGCUUUUGUGGGGUGCUCGAGUGGCGAACGGGUGAGUAACACGUGAGUAACCUGCCCUUGACUUUGGGAUAACUUCAGGAAACUGGGGCUAAUACCGGAUAGGAGCUCUUGCUGCAUGGUGGGGGUUGGUAAGUUUCGGCGGUUGGGGAUGGACUCGCGGCUUAUCAGCUUGUUGGGGGGGUAGUGGCUUACCAAGGCUUUGACGGGUAGCCGGCCUGGGAGGGUGACCGGCCACAUUGGGACUGAGAUACGGCCCAGACUCCUACGGGAGGCAGCAGUGGGGAAUAUUGCACAAUGGGCGGAAGCCUGAUGCAGCAACGCCGCGUGCGGGAUGACGGCCUUCGGGUUGUAAACCGCUUUCGCCUGUGACGAAGCGUGAGUGACGGUAAUGGGUAAAGAAGCACCGGCUAACUACGUG
rnacentral:rRNA from 1 species